rnacentral:rRNA from 1 species
GAUGAACGCUGGCGGCGUGCCUAAUACAUGCAAGUCGAGCGAACGGACGAGAAGCUUGCUUCUCUGAUGUUAGCGGCGGACGGGUGAGUAACACGUGGAUAACCUCCCUAUAAUACUGGGAUAAAUUCGGGAAACCGGAGCUAAUACCGGAUAAUCUUUUGAACCGCAUGGUUCAAAAGUGAAAGACGGUCUUGCUGUCACUUAUAGAUGGAUCCGCGCUGCAUUAGCUAGUUGGUAAGGUAACGGCUUACCACGGCAACGAGGCAUAGCCGACCUGAGAGGGUGAUAGGCCACACUGGAACGGAGACACGGUCAAGACUCCUACGAGAGGCAGCAGUAGGGAAUGUUCCGCAAAGGGCGAAAGCCUGACGGAGCAACGCCGCGUGAGUGAUGGAGGUCUUCGGAUCGUAAAACUCUGUUAUUAGGGAAAAACAGAUGUGUAAGUAACUGUGCACAGCUUGACGGUACCUAAUCAGAAAGCCACGGCUAACUACGUG